CCUACGUGAGGCAGCAGUGAGGAAUAUUGGUCAAUGGACGAGAGUCUGAACCAGCCAAGUAGCGUGAAGGAUGACUGCCCCAUGGGUUGUAAACUUCUUUUAUAAAGGAAUAAAACGAGGCACGUGUGCCUUUUUGCAUGUACUUUAUGAAUAAGGAUCGGCUAACUCCGUGCCAGCAGCCGCGGUCAUACGGAGGAUCCGAGCGUUAUCCGGAUUUAUUGGGUUUAAAGGGAGCGUAGAUGGGUUGUUAAGUCAGUUGUGAAAGUUUGCGGCUCAACCGUAAAAUUGCAUUUGAUACUGGCAGUCUUGAGUACAGAUGAGGUAGGCGGAAUGCGUGGUGUAGCGGUGAAAUGCUUAGAUAUCACGAAGAACCCCGAGUGCGAAGGCAGCUUACUAAACUGUGACUGACGUUGAUGCACGAAAGUGUGGGUAUCAAACAGGAUUAGAUACCCUAGUAGUC
rnacentral:rRNA from 1 species